rnacentral:rRNA from 1 species
AAUUCCAGCUCCAAUAGCGUAUAUUAAGUUGUUGCAGUUAAAAGNUCGUAGUUGAAUUUCGGGAUUGACGUGAAUGGUGUGCCUUAAGGGGUAUGAACUGUCGCAGUUGAUUUCUCACCUUCUGGAGAAGCAUGAUGUCCUUAAUUGGGUGUCAUGUGGAACCAGGACCUUUACCUUGAAAAAAUUAGAGUGUUUAAAGCAGGCAUUUUGCUCGAAUACAUUAGCAUGGAAUAAUAGAAUAGGACGGCAUGGUUCUAAUUUUGUUGGUUUCUAGGAUCACCGUAAUGAUUAAUAGGGAUAUUGGGGGCAUUAGUAUUCAAUUGUCAGAGGUGAAAUUCUUGGAUUUAUUGAAAGACUAACUACUGCGAAAGCAUUUGCCAAGGAUGUUUUCAUUAAUCAAGAACGAAAGUUAGGGGAUCGAAGACGAUCAGAUACCGUCGUAGUCUUAACCAUAAACUAUGCCGACUAGGAAUCAGACGAUGUUAAUUUUUUAAUGACUCGUUUGGUCACCUUACG